UACGAAGGGGGCUAGCGUUGCUCGGAAUCAUUGGGCGUAAAGCGCACGUAGGCGGCUUGUUAAGUCAGGGGUGAAAUCCUGGAGCUCAACUCCAGAACUGCCUUUGAUACUGGCGAGCUUGAGUUCGGGAGAGGUGAGUGGAACUGCGAGUGUAGAGGUGAAAUUCGUAGAUAUUCGCAAGAACACCAGUGGCGAAGGCGGCUCACUGGCCCGAUACUGACGCUGAGGUGCGAAAGCGUGGGGAGCAAACAGG
rnacentral:rRNA from 1 species